rnacentral:rRNA from 1 species
UGGGGAAUAUUGCACAAUGGGCGCAAGCCUGAUGCAGCCAUGCCGCGUUUAUGAAGAAGGCCUUCGGGUUGUAAAGUACUUUCAGUCGGGAGGAAGGUGUCAAGGUUACUAACCUUGGCAAUUGACGUUACCGACAGAAGAAGCACCGGCUAACUCCGUGCCAGCAGCCGCGGUAAUACGGAGGGUGCAAGCGUUAAUCGGAAUUACUGGGCGUAAAGCGCACGCAGGCGGUUGAUUGAGUCAGAUGUGAAAUCCCCGGGCUUAACCCGGGAAUUGCAUCUGAUACUGGUCAGCUAGAGUCUUGUAGAGGAGGGUAGAAUUCCAUGUGUAGCGGUGAAAUGCGUAGAGAUGUGGAGGAAUACCGGUGGCGAAGGCGGCCCCCUGGACAAAGACUGACGCUCAGGUGCGAAGGCGUGGGGAGCAAACAGG